CGCGGAGCCGCGCGAGUUCCAGAGGCCGUGCGCGCUCCCUCGCGAGAACUGGGGGCCGGGGCCGCGCGCCUGAGUCACCUCCCACCCAACCGCCCCCCUUCGAGGAGCGCGGACACCCGCCCCCCCCGCAAUCCGCACGAACUCUUGGGUUCCUGGACGCCUGGAAGCCAGCGCGGCUCAGAAUAUUCCAGGACUAUCGGCACGCAUCCACCCGGGCUCAAGCGGCUGAGGGCCGACUUUUGGGCAGAGGCGCCGCGCCCCCUGGUGGCUCCUGCGGGGAUAGCAGGCAGGGGCUGGGCCAAGAGUUCACACCCCCCCAGACCCCCAACCUCCGCCACACACCCAUUUUAUAAAUGAGGAAACUGAGGCCUGGAGAGGAACUGGAUUGCAUCAUGAAUUGCAAGUUCACCUGGCUGUCUUGGAGCUCACCCCAUCCUCCGUUUCCAGGGAAUGGCACGUGUCCUAGGCCCAGCCAAUCAGAGUAUUCCAGUUGGGCUGUCCGUUGACGACAGUGAUUGGUUCAGAGGUUGCAUUGAACUCAGGAGAGAGUGAGAGUGAAAAAGGGAGGGCCUAUAGACAGUAUCCUGGGAACUGAACACCUCUGGGGCCAUGGGACCUGGUUCAAGAGACAGCUCUGACUACAAGCAAGAUCCUCCUUUUGCUGCAUAUCCAUCCACAGUGCCCCGUGGAAACUUGGGACGUCCCAGCAGAAGAGGUGCCCGGGAUGGGGCGUGGUCGGGUCCAGCGCCUCCACUGUCCCCCAUCCGGAGGCCGCCGCUCGGGGCCGGAGCCCCUCUUCCUGUGACCGUGUGGCCCCCUCCCCCAUCAUCUACCGCACGUCAUUGUUUUUUAUCAUCUCCAGAGCAUGUAUGACUGUCUAGAACUCUUAUUUGUGGGUUUCUUUCUUAUGGUCUGCCUCCCAUGAGACCAUCAGCACCACAGGGCAGGGACCUGGUCUGAUUUGCUGCCAGCUGUGUCCCCAGUGCCUGCCACACCGUAGGUGCUCAAUAUGUAGUUAUUCAAGGAAUGAGUGAACCAUGGAUUUCAAGACGGGGCUCCGUGGUCCUAUGGAAUUCUCACCAGCUCAGCAGUUACAGAUGGGAAAACUGAGGCUCCCAGUGGUGAAGUCGCUUGCUGGAGGAUUCUGCUUCUGUUCUUUGUUCAUUCAUACAACAUAUGGUUCCGUAGCCCCUUCUUCUUUCUGGGCACUGUGCUACAGCAAUGGCCACAACAGCUUCAGUCUCUGCUUGCCCAGGACUUGGUCAAGGGCUAUUUUAUUUUUAUGACAAACCUGAAUAUUUCACCUACUGCAUGCCAAGUAAAGAUGUAGGGACUUUACACAUAACUCAUUUCAUCUUCCUAAUAGUUAUGCUAUUAUUAUCCCAUUUUAGAGAUGAGCAAACUGACGCACACAGAGAAACUGAGUUGCUGGCACCAGGUCACACUGCUAGUAAGUGAUCCUGGGGAAAAAUUACACCCAGCGAUGAGACUGCUUAUGAAGGAAAGAGAAUCAGGGAGAUGGUAGACUUCCCAUUAGUGACCCAGAUGGAGGACCAGUGUCUUCUAACUUUGCAAGAAAAAUAACUAGGAACCCAGAAUUUGAGAUUCCAUUUGUGAGGGUCAAAUAAAGACAUUUUCAGAUGA